AAUCGGACACGCCCAAAUAUGAUUAGUAAUGGCUUUCUUUGUUUACCAAGUGCAUCGUGUCUCGUCGGGGUCAAGAUUAAGCCCAAAUUCGGCCCGAAAAAGCAAAAAAAUCGGCCGAAAUGCAACGUGAGAAGGAGCACUGCAGUCGGCGCAGCAGCGUAGCGAGUUUAACUGAUUCGGGAGAGCCGCUCCCAGGCCAGUCUGACUCGCCGCCGGAAAGGGACGUUCCCUUCGUCGUUCUCCCUGUUCAAAUUGACCUACGAGGCUCAUAAUUAAGUCUAAUUUACAUGUUUAACUCGGCCGAAAACGCCAGUGAUUUGAGAAUUGUCUCUUCUUCGUGCGGCCGCGUUGAAAUCCAAAUUGGCACCGACUUUCCCACCAUUUCCAGUAAAAAUUUGAGCACCUCAUCUCUGUAUUUUUGACGCAUCCAGCUGCACUCGGAAGUCAGGUUUGACGAAAUUCUGUCGGAAAACCAACUGGUGGGGCAAAGUGGACACCAUCAUGGCUUGAGGAAUUUCCUUCGUGUUCAUCUCUUGAUAAAUAAGCAAAUUGCUAAGGGAUUCCUGUAAACUCUUAUCCCCUUUUAUUUCCUCGCCUUCAAAGAUCUUGAGGAAUUUUUCAAGCAAAUCUGGAACCAUAAUAUGUAUUUUAUAAAAACAUAAGUCUGCUCUCCAAAAUUAAAGUAAAAAAAAAGUAAAUAAAAAAAGCGUAUUCGUAAUGACGUGUCAAAAAAAUGCACCUUUGUUUUGAAGGAUAAAGACAAACCAUCCGCUGUGGACAGUGGCCUUUAGGAAAUCAAUUUGUUUUGCCUCCUUAAACUGAAAAAGAAUUUUAUUUUGUUUGAAUAUAAUAAAUUUCUCUGAAUUUUUUGGAAAAUAGUUCU